UAGAAAUUGACAAUGAGAGUCGUUUGAAUACUAAACUUUAUUACAAAUUUGACUUAGAUAUUUCCAUUGUGAAUUUAACACUUUUUGUUUGUUGGUUGAUUAACGUUCAGUGACAGAUAUUUCAUGCAUGUUCAGGACUAAAACAGAUUUAUAAUAAAUACAAUAGGUUGGUCCUGUAAUAGAAGCCGUCCGGGAUGAAGGUCGGGUUAAUUUAGACUGCCACUGAAAAAUGAGGGUAUACAGGAUAGGGACAGAUUGAGAAAUAUUUCCUUGCAACAGGUCACCUACAUACCCCUCAAAAAGUUGUUGCAAGGGUUAUUAGCGUGUCACUCUCUGUGCACGUGGUAUCGGAUAUAAUGUCUCCGUUCUGACCGGACGUGGCUGCAUACUUGUACAUCCCGCACAACUAAACGUACGCCCCUACUCUGACAAGGGUUUAUUGCCGGUCGGAAGAAGACCAAAGUGACGGGUUUUUUUUACAACAUUUUAUUCAAUGUUGGUGUUUUUUAACACACAAUUGGCUCUCCUAUAUGAACACCUAUGUUCCUCUGUACAACGGCUCUAUUUGUAUCAGGCAGACUAUACAGGUUUUUCUUUAAAACAAAAAUUACAAUAUCCUCUAUCUUCAAGUUUCGUUAUAAAGAUUAUGUCCUUUUAUGGAAUAAUUCAAAGUCUAGUGACUAUGUUGAUCCCGUCGAUCUUACUAAGCUUGAAAUAAAGGAUUACACAGAUGUAGUUUGAAUUUCUUCAGGUCAUGACUUAGAAAUUGACAAUGAGAGUCGUUUGAAUACUAAACUUUAUUACACAUUUGACUUAGAUAUUCCCAUUGUGAAUUUAACACUUUUUUUUUGUUGGUUGAUUAACGUUCAGUGACAGAUAUUUCAUGCAUGUUCAGGACUAAAACAGAUUUAUAAUAAAUACAAUAGGUCAGUCCUGUAAUAGAGGCCGUCCGGAAUGAAGGUCGGAUUAAUUUAGACUGCCACUGAAAAAUGAGGGUAUACAGAAUAGGGACAGAAAUAUUUCCUUGCAACAGGUCACCUACAUACCCCUCAAAAAGUUGUUGCAAGGGUUAUGAGCGUGUCACUCUCUGUGCACGUGGCAUCGGAUAUAACGUCCCCGUUCUGACCGGACGUGGCUGCAUACUUGUACAUCCCGCACAAUUAAACGUACGCUCCCCCUCUGACAAGGGAUUACUGCCGGUCGAAAGAAGACCAAAAGGAAGAUAUUUAUAAUCCCAGACAAACUCUGAGGACGAUUUCAUUGACAAAUGGUUGCUGCUUAUAAGGAGGUUAUAAAUGGUAAAGUUCAAUUCAUCUACUCGAAAAUUGAUCACACGUUAUAAUGAUAUUUUCAAUCUUAAUGGACAUAUACACGUCAAUAACAGAUGACAACGAAUAUGUUCUAUAUGUUGGAAACACAAUUUCAUUCGUUUUCCAGUUUAUGACUGCCAUCUUAGAUUGAUUUAUCCUCGGAGUUGAUCAGAUAUGAGUAACAAGACGCGUGUCGCUAUAGAACAGGUCGUGUUUACCCUUUCGGAACACCGGAGAUCAUCAAUGGUUUUCGCUGAUGUAUCUGUAUUUUACCGUGUGGAGUUUUAUGGACUGUUGUUCGUUCUUUUGGUGUAAUGUGACUUUAUUAGAAUUAUAAGUUGUGUUGCUCUUCUUAGUGUUUCUAUUAAAUGCACAAUGACUAGAAUAUAUAUCUCUGUUAUGCCAAGUUAUGUCGUCAUAGUUACGAUGAUUUGUAGCCAUUAUAAUGUGAUUGCAUUUGCCUUGUCGAAACCCGAACAAGUUUCGCGAUUUAAUUGAUAUGGUAAAUAUUGCGCAAAUGUGACAUCGGGAACACAUUAUCUAUCAUAAAAGUUUUAUUUUUGGAAAUGCCCACCUUAUUGUAUAUUUUUACUAUAUAUGAAAAUAGAACCAUAUCAAAUAAGCUUGGUGACGUAAUAGGUAAGAUAAAAAGAUAACCCGAGUAACCAAAUAUCAAAAUAAAAUUAGUCAAACGUGUUUGAAGCAGAUAUCGAGGUCAACUUGAGUUUGUCAUAGGGAUAAUUAGUAAACAGUUAUUAGAUAUUCAAAUCUAUAUCGCUAAGGUCAACGAACUUGCUUCAUGGGUCUUUGUCUAAGAUUAACUUGGUUUAAACACUGAAAACUCUUUGACCAGCUCUUGUUUGAAUUAUAGAUUAAUUGUUGCGUGUUUAUCUUCUAGUACAUGUAUAACAGAAUUGGCGGGAAGAAAACGUAUUGAAAGUUGCGUGUUUAUCUUCUAGUACAUGUAUAACAGAAUUGGCGGGAAGAAAACGUAUUGAAAGUUGCGUGGUUUCGGCUGUAAAGAGGUUUAACAUUCAGAAAAGGAUCUCUAUCUUUGGUUGGUCGCGAAUAAUUAGAAAUGAAUAUUUAUCCAUUUUAAGUUUAUCAUUUAUUUCAUCCAUUCUCACAUCCUUAUCUAUUAUACAGCUU